CGCAAGAUUAAAACUCAAAUGAAUUGACGGGGGCCCGCACAAGCGGUGGAGCAUGUGGUUUAAUUCGAUGCAACGCGAAGAACCUUACCUACUCUUGACAUCCAGAGAACUUUCCAGAGAUGGAUUGGUGCCUUCGGGAACUCUGAGACAGGUGCUGCAUGGCUGUCGUCAGCUCGUGUUGUGAAAUGUUGGGUUAAGUCCCGCAACGAGCGCAACCCUUAUCCUUGUUUGCCAGCGAGUAAUGUCGGGAACUCCAGGGAGACUGCCGGUGAUAAACCGGAGGAAGGUGGGGACGACGUCAAGUCAUCAUGGCCCUUACGAGUAGGGCUACACACGUGCUACAAUGGCGCAUACAGAGGGCGGCCAACUUGCGAAAGUGAGCGAAUCCCAAAAAGUGCGUCGUAGUCCGGAUCGGAGUCUGCAACUCGACUCCGUGAAGUCGGAAUCGCUAGUAAUCGUGGAUCAGAAUGCCACGGUGAAUACGUUCCCGGGCCUUGUACACACCGCCCGUCACACCAUGGGAGUGGGCUGCAAAAGAAGUGGGUAGUUUAACCUUCGGGAGGACGCUCA
rnacentral:rRNA from 1 species